CAAGUCGAGCGAAUGAUGAGGAGCUUGCUCCUCUGAUUUAGCGGCGGACGGGUGAGUAACACGUGGGUAAUCUGCCUGUAAGACGGGGAUAACUCCGGGAAACCGGGGCUAAUACCGGAUAACAAGAGAAAAAGCAUUUCUUCUUUUUGAAAGUCGGCUUCUCGCUGACCCUUACAAAUGACCCCGCGGCGCAUUACCUAGUUGGUGAGGUAACGGCUCACCAAGGCAACAAUGCGUACCCAACCUGAAAGGGUGAUCGGCCACACUGGGACUGAAACACGGCCCAAACUCCUACGGGAGGCAGCAUUAGGGAAUCUUCGGCAAUGGGCGAAAGCCUGACCAAGCAACGCCCCGUGAGCAAUGAAGGCCUUCGGGUCGUAAAGCUCUGUUGUUAAAGAAAAACAAGUACAAAAGUAACUGCUCGUACCUUGACGGUACCUAACCAAAAAGCCACGGCUAACUACUUGCCA
rnacentral:rRNA from 1 species